CCAACGGCCCUCUUUAGGGCCACAAAUUUAUAAGCAAAGCAUACCU
rfam:Ascaris lumbricoides genome assembly, scaffold: ALTE_scaffold0001176